rnacentral:lncRNA from 1 species
GGAAGGGAGUGCCAUUUGCCCUGCUGGCUCUUGGGUGGCCCGGAUAGGAGGCUAGCCGUCCGUGAGCUGUCCUGCCACAUGGCAGCUGGCAGGAGCCUGCGCCCCCGCCGCCGGAACACAGGCCCGCACUGUGAGGGAUUAGGUGGAACAUAUGCACGUAAGAUGCUUAUGGCUUUUUCCAGACAGAAGGCCACUUUCCAGCCUGAGGAGCAGCUUGGAGGAAACAGGGUAAUUAGAUAGAGUCUCACGCUGGGAGGGACAGAGAGCUCAGCUGAACCUGAUGCUUUCAUCUCCGCCCUGCCUCCGCUGCCUUCUCAUCCUUUUUUUCUCUUUUCCCUCUUCUGUUUUCUUCCAUCUACUUCCUGUUCACUUGUGUCCUUCCUGACUUGUCCUCAACUUCUUUUCCUGGUUCCUUUUCCUCUUUUGUUUCUUCUCCUGUUCGCUUUCCUCUCAUCCCUUCUUUUCCUCCGUCCUUUCUUUGACUUUCUUCACCGUACUCUUCAUGCUUCUCCAUGUUUAUUGCAGCUUUUUUUCUUGACUCAUCUGUCAGCUGAAAUUCUCACGGAGACAAAAGCUGUGGCCCUGAAGGCAGAGCGGCUGAGACAGUGGACGUGGGAAUGAAUGGCCACUGAAUCUCUUGACCUAGAAUUGUGCUCCUAGAGAAGGCUUUCCACCUUCCCCCCGGGGCCCAUUCAUUGAGGACGACUUGGGUACUUUGGUGGCAAGCAACAGAAGUGGAUUCUGCUACCUUAAUGAAGAAAAAAAGGUAUUUAUUGAAAAGAUAUGGGGAGCUCACAGAAUGGAAGGAAAUGGGCGAUAAGCAGCCCUUAUGAGGGCCAGAAACCCCGGCGGACUAGGCAGUCUGGGUAGAAGGAAGUAAUAGUCCGCUCUGAAUGUUGCUGUGAGGAUGAACUGACUUCAGCUUUAAAAAAAACAAGCAACCUUUUUUUGUAAACUCAGAGAGAUGCAGUGAUUAGAAUUAAGCCCACUCUCAGUUCGUGGCCUUAUGCCCUGAAGGGUCUGGGAGAGGCCCUGUCAUAUUCUAUUUUAUGUAUUUCCUUAUUUGAUCCCUGAGCCCCAUUGUCCUCCCCAUAGACAACCACUUUAAAUGUGCUCAAUUUCUGUCCUGGAUUUGCA